GAGCAUCUCCCGCACCUAAGCUGUUAUGGUCAACUGCAUUCUGAAGGGAGGUGUUUAAUACUGAGGAGCAAGUCGAAAAAUCCCGUCCUGUAAGCUUAUUACUCAUACGAGCCAUGACAACCACAGCACGCUCAUUUAGCACCUCAUUAGCAUCACCGAGUUGGUUAACAGCCUAUAUAAUUUCCCUUUCACGGACACCACGCUGA
rnacentral:lncRNA from 1 species